UAAGCGUAUGCUGGGGCAUCAGCCUGUUGCAAAGACUUCAAUGAGCAGCUGAAUGUCAGCAUCCUGAAAACACUAGUUGCAGGCACCAGUACGGCUGUGAAACCCCAAUUACCAAACCCCUUCGUGCAAGUGGACUCCGUACAGGACUGAGGUAUCAAGACAACGAAGAAAGCCAGUGCAAACAAUACAUUUAUAUCACAGUGGAGGAAAUGUACAAGAAUCAGAAGAAUCAGUGGUGGUUAGUCAAGAAGUCAGAAUGGUGAAGAGUUUAAUAUUUUCAGGGAGCAGCAAGAGCGGGGCUGCUCCAAGAAGGAAGACAAGUGGGCGCCGAGGGUGACCGCAACGCUGGCAUUGCCUUCCCUGACCCAGGUGCAAUCGCACGUGGUCCAAACACAGUAGGCAGAGCCAGCCGCUGGCAACGGGGUUUAUCGAUAGUCCCAGACAAGGCCAAGGGAUGAAAAGAGUGCAGUCAGGAACAGCAGGAGACAAGGCUACAAUGCAUAAGCAUCUGCAAACAUUGCUUCCAGGUGCAACAGGACCGCAGAAGUCCAAUUGUUCUUCACACAACAGUCUGUUAAAAAGAUGGAACUGCUUGACAUUUUCUUCACUCUGUGCAACAGAUAUCAACCUUUUCUGCUUUUUAUUUGAAAUGACAUGUGUAGGGCCAUUUCAUUUGUGUAGCUGAAAAUCUCCAAUGACAACUCUUCCAUUUCCAAGACAAUUCAUUUUUUUUAUUUUCCGUAUUUGUGUUAAUAAACAAAAAAGGUUGUGAAUAUGAAUGCCCUUG
rnacentral:lncRNA from 1 species